rnacentral:rRNA from 1 species
AUACGGAGGGUGCGAGCGUUAGCCGGAUUUAUUGGGUUUAAAGGGUGCGCAGGCGGACCUGUCAGUCAGUGGUGAAAUCCCGGGGCUCAACCCCGGAACUGCCAUUGAUACUACAGGUCUUGAAUACGGUUGAAGUAGGCGGAAUGUAGCAUGUAGCGGUGAAAUGCAUAGAUAUGCUACAGAACACCGAUCGCGAAGGCAGCUUACUAAGCCGAUAUUGACGCUCAGGCACGAAAGCGUGGGGAGCGAACAGGAUUAGAUACCCCAGUAGUCC